rnacentral:tRNA from 1 species
GGGCGUGUAGCUCAGUUGGUUAGAGCAUUCGCUUGAUAAGCGAAAGGUCGACAGUUCGAGUCUGUCCACGCCCA